CCAAGCUGGCUUGCCUAACACUGUGAGUCAAAAGUAACCCUAAAAAGGAAAAACACACAGCACUGAAGGGUCUCUGGGUGGUAAUGCCAGCGUGGGCUGGGGAGGUGAGAUUAAGCACAUGGCUAGCAGACCUCAGGACGGGCCCUGGGGCUCAUCAUACAGAAAUAUGACAAGAUGGUGAAGUCACAACUUCAGAUGUCAUUGGAGCUAUCUGUAUAUGACACACACAUUAUAAACAAAUAACCUGGAACAUUUCACAGUGUACGACACCUGUUCUACCUGGGAAUGCAAACCCUGAGCUGCAAAUAAGAACACAGACGUGGGAGACACCACGGCCUGAAGCUGCUCUCCUCUUCCCUCCUCUCCUCUCCUCCGGUCCCGUGAUGGGUUAUGCUGAGCCAGCAAUGUGCACGCACUAACUCCACAGGUGUUAAAGACACUUUCUGCUGAACCAUUUGAAAGCAAGCUGUAGGGCCCUCGACAUGGCAGCACCCAGGAGAAUAAGGGCAUCU
rnacentral:lncRNA from 1 species